rfam:Schistosoma margrebowiei strain Zambia genome assembly, scaffold: SMRZ_contig0000362
GUCCAGCUGAAGAGUCCCAAAUAGGACAAAACUCUCGUUUCUGGAU